AUUGAACGCUGGCGGCAUGCCUUACACAUGCAAGUCGAACGGUAACAGGUCUUCGGAUGCUGACGAGUGGCGAACGGGUGAGUAAUACAUCGGAACGUGCCUAGUAGUGGGGGAUAACUACUCGAAAGAGUGGCUAAUACCGCAUGAGAUCUACGGAUGAAAGCAGGGGAUCGCAAGACCUUGUGCUACUAGAGCGGCCGAUGGCAGAUUAGGUAGUUGGUGGGAUAAAAGCUUACCAAGCCGACGAUCUGUAGCUGGUCUGAGAGGACGAUCAGCCACUCUGGGACUGAGACACGGCCCAGACUCCUACGGGAGGCAGCAGUGGGGAAUUUUUGACAAUGGGCGCAAGCCUGAUCCAGCAAUGCCGCGUGCAGGAUGAAGGCCUUCGGGUUGUAAACUGCUUUUGUACGGAACGAAAAGCCCUGGGUUAAUACCCUGGGGUCAUGACGGUACCGUAAGAAUAAGCACCGGCUAACUACGUGCCAGCCGCCGCAGUAAGAC
rnacentral:rRNA from 1 species